UCAAAUUAGAGUUUGAUCUUGGCUCAGGAUGAACGCUGGCGACGUGGAUAAGGCAUGCAAGUCGUGUGGGUUUAGACCCACGGCGAACGAGGUAGUAAUACACAGGAACGUCCCCUAGAGUCGGGCAUAAUCAGCCGAAAGGUUGGCUAAUUCCCGAUAGACCCCGCGGAGCUCGCAAGAGCGAAGUGGGGUAAAGUCUCACGACGCUCUGGGAUCGGCCUGUGGGCUAUCAGCUAGUUGGUAAGGUAAUGGCUUACCAAGGCGAUGACGGCUAGGGGGGGUGAGAGCCUGUUCCCCACCGAUGGUACUGCGACACGGACCAUACACCUACGGGUGGCAGCAGCCGAGAAUCUUCCGCAAUGGGCGAAAGCCUGACGGAGCGACGUCGCGUGGUGGAUGAAGCCCUUCGGGGCGUAAACACCUUUUAUUGGGGAGAAAACCCUGCACUGUAUAGUGCGGGGUGUGAUAGUACCUGAUGAAUAAGGGGUUGCUAAACUCGUGCCAGCAGCAGCGGUAAGACGAGUACCCCAAGCGUUAUCCGGAAUUACUGGGCGUAAAGCGUGCGUAGGCGGUCUGGUUUGUCUGUUGUCAAAGCUCCCGGCUUAACCGGGAAUCCGCAACAGAAACGGCCAGACUCGAGGGGGCGAGAGGUCUAUG
rnacentral:rRNA from 1 species